rnacentral:rRNA from 1 species
UACGAAGGGGGCUAGCGUUGCUCGGAAUCACUGGGCGUAAAGGGCGCGUAGGCGGAUAGUUUAGUCAGAGGUGAAAGCCCAGGGCUCAACCUUGGAAUUGCCUUUGAUACUGGCUAUCUUGAGUUCGGGAGAGGUGAGUGGAAUGCCGAGUGUAGAGGUGAAAUGCGUAGAUAUUGGGAGGAACACCAGUGGCGAAGGCGGCUCACUGGACCGGUUCUGACGCUGAGGCGCGAAAGCGUGGGGAGCAAACAGGG